rnacentral:rRNA from 1 species
UACACGCUGUGACUAGCAUAUCAAUAGCGGAGGAAAAGAAACUAACAAGGAUUCCCCUAGUAACGGCGAGUGAAGCGGGAAGAGCUCAAAUUUGAAAUCUUAAAGGGUUUCCCUUUACGAAUUGUAGUUUAAAGAAGUGUUUUCUGUUGAGGUUUUGGUAAAAGUUCUUUGGAAUAGGACAUCAUAGAGGGUGAGAAUCCCGUAUUUGACCUUUACUUUCAACUUUGUGAUACACUUUCAAAGAGUCGGAUUGUUUGGGAAUGCAGUCCAAAAUGGGUGGUAAAUUUCAUCUAAAGCUAAAUAUUGGCGAGAGACCGAUAGCGAACAAGUACCGUGAGGGAAAGAUGAAAAGAACUUUGAAAAGAGAGUUAAACAGUACGUGAAAUUGUCAAAAGGGAAGCGUUUGACACCAGUGUUGUUUUUCUAGAAAAUCAAUUAAAGAACUGUUUAUGCUAAGUUGUUUAGACUUUAUCAGCUAACUGUUUAGUUUUGAGCUUUUCUUUAAUGCACUUUUCAGUUAACAAGUCAACAUCAAUUUCUUUUGCUGUAAAAAAGCUUGAGGAAGGUGGCUUGAGAUUCGUCUUAAGUGUUUAUAGCCUCUUGCCUAUGCAGUCGGAGAGAUUGAGGUCUGCAACGUAGAUCCUUCGGGGCUAAAUGCAUUUGUGCUAAGUUAUAGCAUUUUAUAGACAACUUGUUGACUAUGAUUUGUCUUGUAGCUUACUCGCUUAUGUUAUUUUACCUACGCUUAGGAUGUUGAGUCGUAGAGCACGCAG